UACAGAGGCCUCGAGCGUUAGGCGGAAUCACUGGGCUUAAAGCGUGUGUAGGCGGAUCGUUAAGUACCUUGUGAAAUCCCACGGCUCAACCGUGGAACUGCUUGGUAUACUGGCGAUCUUGUGCCACCUAGGGGCGAGCGGAACAGAUGGUGGAGCGGUGAAAUGCGUAGAUAUCAGGAGGAACACCGGUGGCGAAGGCGGGUCUCUGGGCCGAUACUGACGCUGAGGAGCGAAAGCGUGGGGAGCGAACAGG
rnacentral:rRNA from 1 species